ensembl:lncRNA
CACUUCAUAGCAGUUUAAUGAAUCACUCGUGUAGUAUCAUUUCAUUAAGAAGAGUUUACAGAGCUCUAGUUUGUACAGUAAAUAAUAAAACUAUUUACACAUUUAUAAAUGUGGCCUGUGAUUUACACAGUGACAGCUACAUAAACAUGCCAUACUCCAAUUAACAUGAAUGAGACAGAUAUUAUAACACGAUGGUUGAGUUACUUUCACUUAUCCCUUCACUUACUUUCUUUAAGAGUAACAGAUCAUAACAAUUUGAAAUCAAAGUCAAAGAUUUACAAACAGGCCCCCAAUGCACUUUAUUUUCUCAUUUGGUCCCUAAUACUGCAGAAUAUAAUGCCAAAUAUGAAUAUUUUAGUUCUAGUAGUAGUUUAGACCAUUUUUUGCUGAACUAUUCCUUUAAUCAUAAUGACACAAAAGGAAUGCCCACACACAAGCCAAAUAAUUCAUAUUUUAAUCUUAACGCUACAUUCUAUAGUUACUAUGGUAACAGCUGUAAAUUUAGUGUCAUUGUUCAGAUGUACUUAAAGUUACUGUAAAUCCAUUAACAGUUACCUGAAUGUUCAUCGCGCCUAAUUACAUCAAAAUGAAACAUUAUUUGCAAAUAAUGGGCUCGUGACGAGGACGGAUGAUGUCAACAUUAAACACAGAUGACGUCACAUUGUCAGGGACUUCAGAACAUCACAUUAUGUUGGAAUGCAUUCAGUCCAUGUUUAUUUUAGUAAUAUCUACCAUAUUUAGCUGCUCUAUGAGUCUCUGGGUUCAUGUGAGACUCAUAACACAGGAAGAACUAGAAUAAUUCACAGGAAGUGCAAGACCUUGACCUCGUCCUUUAGCCCCCUCCAGUAAUGAUCUGCUAAAUCUGCUUCAGUGUCCUGGAAGAUCCAGAUAAAGCAGGUAGUUUAACAGGGUUUGGUAAAGAGCUACAAUGUUCCAGAAAGAAAAGCAUCAGAUUAGACGAGUUAAAUAGCGAGUAUGACCUGUUGCGUUCCAGCAUUGCAUCUUCCUGUAAGUUUCGGUGUCUGCAGAAGGGGCUGAAGAACAGGUUCUGGUUUGCGUUCAUUCGUACAGCUACAGGAAGUGUCUUUGCUAUCACAUCACUGGAUGCUUGCAUGCAUAACUCAUGUGGCAUAUUUGGGAAAAGUAUCUUCUGGUAAAGAAUGUAGAAUGCCAACAUUUGGAGAGGUUUGGUCUUAUUAUUGCACGUCUCCUGCCACACGCAGUGCUCACAGUGCUGGAGGAUGAUGAUGAUGAUGAUGAUGCAUGAAAAAAAAAUGCAUGCGGGGAACCACAGCUUUACCCUCUGGGAGACUGAAGGAAGUGAUGUCAUUGAGGAAAUAGCCAGAUUGAAGGAUAAGAAAGCUGUGAUCAGAUAUGUGGGUCAGAGAGUGGAAAACUACUUUUUUAUUUAAAUUAAACAAUAUUUAUUGAUUUAAGUAUUUGUUUGUUAAUUUAUGUAUUUAUUAUUGAUUUAUUAGUUUGUUUAUUUAUUCAUGUUUAGUUUAAUUUGAAGUACAAAAAUAACGAAAAAAUAAAUUAAUUAACUCAAACUAAUCAAUACAAAUUAAUAAAAACUACACAUUUAAAAAAAAAAAAAAAAAAAACUUUUAGAUUUUUU